UACAAUACAAUUCUAAUUAAUGAUAAUAUAAAAUCUGUUACUUCUAAAACUAUACACUAUUUAUUCCAUUUUUUGAAUGAAAGUAUCUUCGUAAACACACAAAAUAUUUUGUGACGUUGCAAUUAUACAUACACACAAUAUCUGCCUCUUCAUACUGACGUUACUGUAUUCUCUCUCGUGAGGUACGGACCGAGAGAGAACACAUGGUGCGGACCGAUCAUGUUCUUAUGCCCGUACAGGGUACGGACCGGUCAUCUAAUUUUAAAUAUAUAUAGAAGGUUACCGCAAAACAUUUGAACCACAUGGUCCUAAUUUUCUCUGGUAUCAGGGUCCAACUCGGAUGUCUAGAGCCUAGGGGUUUGGUCUGAGAAAUCCUUUCUAUCAUCAAUCACUUUCAUAUUUAUGGUAAGACGGAAUAGUCUUUGAUCAUGUCGGAAAUGCUUUGUGACACACGACCAUUAAGUCCAAACCUAAAAAAUAAUAUUAACUUGUUAGAGAAGUUAAUAUUCUAAAUCUAAUAAUAUAAAUCAUAAAAGUCAUAACUAAUAAAAGUUAUGAUCAAGGUCAACAUUGGUCACGACGAAAUCAAUGGCAAAAAUAUUCUGAAAAAAAUACCUCAAAUAAAUAUGAACCGCAAAUGUCGAGGAAACUACACCACAUAAGCCGGGCCUAUUUAAAUAAGAUGUGAGAACAAAAUUUUCGUAUAUUUCAUCACCAAAAAUCCUAUUUAUGCAAAAAUAUAGUUUCCGUCAAAACCGUAAAAACACACAUUUUUGCCAAAACCAUAAAACACAUCUUUGGCCGAAACUGUAAAAAUACACUUUUCGGCCAAAACCGUAAAAAUACUCUUUGCUAUCAAAACAGAAAAAAAACACACAUUUUAUAUCAAAACCGUAAAACAUACUUUUCAACUAAAAUUGUAAAAUGCACUUUUAAAGCCAAAAGCGUAAAUAUGCAUUUUCCCUUAAAAACCGUAAAAUGCACUUUUUAGCCAAAACUUUUAAAACACACUUUCCAUCAAAGCUGAAAACGCACUUUCCCAUCAAAACAAAAAAAAAAAUGCACUUUUCCGCCAAAAUUGCAAAAAUGCACUUUCCUGUCAAAACCAUAAAACGGACUUUUCCGCCAAAACAGUAAAACACACUUUUCCGCCAAAACUGCGAAAAACACAUUUUUCUACUAAAAUCGUAAAACACACUUUUCGGUUAAAACCCGUAAAAAAAAAUACUUUUCUGCCAAAUCCGUAAAAAAAAACUUUCCAUAAAAGAUAUCAACUUGAAAGUGUUGGGAAAUUGAUUGCAUCUUCAGUUUCUCUCUGUGUUUAUCCUGAUUGUAGGCUUCAUGGAUCCGUAAAAGAUCGCUCUUGAAGUCCAUAAUUUAUUUUGGUGCAUGCCACUUUUUGUUGGGCUGAAAUCCACUUCUAAAGACCGAUACUUGCAGAUAGACAUGCUGGAAGCAUUCCAUUUUGUAAACUCCAUAACUCCUGUCCGUGAAUCUUUUUUGGUAAUUUCAAGUCGCGGUGAUGCACUGAUUAGUUGCUUGCUCUGAAAAUUGGUUUCUUGGCAAAAUCUUUCCGGUUGUCCAGAUAUUCUCCUUAGACUGAACCUCUCUCACUAGUAUCACCUAAAUGGUUGGGGUUGUCAGUUUUUUUAGACUCUGGCCGAGCCACAAAUUUGAGGACCACAAAACUAUGAUGACCGCAAGGGGAGGAUGUCGGAUGAGCCAAAGGACCAGGAGCAGAUAAUCACAUAGGGAUUCGUGCGGUAAAAAGUGGGGGAUUAGCCAAAUCAAUGAGCCGCAUGUGAUUAGGUCCUAAAGGUCUAGGCUGAUUGAUGCAUGCUAGGUGAUAUUAAAUUAUGACUUGUUCUUACUAUGUUUCUUGGUUUGAGAUGAGUUUGUAAGUUUUUGAAUCCGUCCUCUCUGAGUAAUUACUCCCUUCUAUUUUUUUGCAGGUUUGUUCGAGAAGUUGUAGAAGUAUAAUUACUGAUGUGGUGUUACAUCUUUGGAAAACCUAGACCGGGAGAACAUAUGUCACAAUAUUAGCAUAUAUAUAUUUGGGUAAUUCUCUCAGAUGACAAUAACAUAGGUUUGUUCACUAAAAGAGCCAACAAUGAGAAAAGUGACCAAAUGAAGUUUCAUUAAAGAAAAAAAAAUUUUCUAACCUUAUUUUAUCGACAUUUAAAUAAUAAUAAAAAUUAAAAAAUAUUUUUAUUAUUUUUGAAUACUAUGUUUUUGAAUUUGAACUUUUUCAAAAAAAAUUCAAAUAUGUUUUUCAAAUUUUUAUUUUAAAAUCCAAUCUUUUCUGUUAAAACUAUUUUUUAAAUUUUUAGUAUUAUUAUUAUUUUUUUAAUAAUCUUAAAUCCUACCUUCCCCUAAAACCUCACCCCCUCAAUCUAAACCACAAAUUUAGAUUAGUUAGUCAUAUGGAUAUAAUUGUUUAUUUACUUCCUUAACAAAACAUUUUGAUCAUUUAUAUUCGUGGUUAAAACAAAAUUUGUGGUUAUCGAAUUUCUCUAUAUAUUUAUUCUAUGUACGAGCAUCAUCUUUAUAUAUAAAAGAAGCUUUGUUUCUCUCCCAGAUAUGCCAACAAGGAUGCCAGCACAACAAUUCAUGAGCUCCUGUUGUGACACGUAUGAAACUCAUCGUUUCAUUUAACUGAAUCAUGAUGGGCUUUAAUCUGUUCCGGUGGGUUUCAUUAUUCAGACAGAACUGACCAGCCCGAUAGAGAGAUACCAGUUCCUUCGUGAAGCCAUCUUCGAAAACUAGGGUUUCAUCUUCUUCUAACAAUGGAGAUUCAGCAUGUCUUUAUUGACGAAGCGGCGUGAAGAGAAUCUUUGUGUGGAGUCGUUAGCGUCGAAUCGUCUUCCGUUCAUCCCCUCUAAGACGUUACGAGAUCUCUUAAUUAAUGGUCUUUAAGGAACAUCUUAACUCCAUCGAUGCAUAUCAAGCACGACGAUCCAUUCCAUGAUAAUUAUCACAGUUCUAGGCGGUGAUUGUCCAUUUAUAAAAAACCGGUCUCUAUUUUUCCACCAUCUUAGUGCGGCUGCUGAGAUUCUGGUGGUGCGGCUGGGAACCUAGGAACUCCAGACGCGGUGGGGAAUUGAUGGGUGCGGACAUGUUUCUACUUGAUGCUAAGUUUAUAAGGUAACCGUCAUGCCAGCCACAUUGAAUGUUCACCGCCACUUCAGGCAACGUCUGACGGCUGAUUAAAUGUUAACACUGAGAGGGUUUGAUGUGGUUCCGUGCAAUAAGAACUUCAGGCUGUCCGAUUCUCUUCUGGCGAUUUGGUUCAGAAGACAAGACACAACCUGUGAAGAUCAGUCCAUGUUCUCUUUUGCGUUACAAUGCAGAAGAAGUUUCAUAGGCAGAAGCAAGGAAUAAAUUCAAAACUAUCUAGCCUGUGGCGAGAAAGGAACAUCCGUUUGUUGGGUCACAAGCAAGAAGCAUCGGCCUUAUAAUGUUCCCAGCAAAAUUUGAAGCUGUUAACAGUAACGGGAAACAGGGAAGGCAAACCAAGCGCUUACGGUUACCAGCAGAACCUCUGAUGAAUGUUCAGACAAGAGUAACUCAGGGCUAGCUCCUCUUCAGCUAGACGCAAUAGCAGCUUAGAAUCACACGACAUUCACCCUUUUAUAGAGUGUUGUCUGAAGCAUCAGGGUCGUGCAGCUCAAUGGGUUUUCUUCAGCGGUUGGUUUGAUGGGUCUGAAGAGAGGACAGCACCGAUAACAAUUCAUGAUGAUGAUGAUGCCAUUGUCAAGGUCUACAAGUGAUAGCUACGAUGCUUCUGGUGGAGAAGACUGUAAUCAGUUUACUUAUAGAAACAUCCGCAAAUCAAGAUACGAAGUACAAUGAUAAUCACAGAAUUCUUGAGGCAUUCUUUGAUAUAUGGCUGGUCGUCUCAUGCAAAUGGAUUGGUCAAGAAAAGUCUUUAACAUUCACAGAAAUAAUAUUUAUGGAACUCUUGCAGUGUUUGCAAGGAACGAGAAGCAUCUGUUGGGAAAAAACAGGGGAAGCCUUUUGUGUAUUCCUAAGAUUUUUAUUGUUCAAAUGCUUCUUUUGUUGGUGUCCGUUGUUGGCCACCAUCUGAAAUGUUCUAUCUCUUGACGUAACGAUGUUAUUUGUUUUGUUGCGUAGAGACCUUUAAUCUUUUGGUGUUAUGAAAUCCUUUUAUUAUUU